AGUCACUGACAUUAGAUACCCGCGUAGUCCCAGCCGUAAACAAUGUGCGUUAGGUGUGUCGGUAACCACGCGUUACUGAUGCGCCGAAGAGAAAUCGUGAAACGCACCACCUGGGAAGUACGGUCGCAAGGCUGAAAACUUAAAGGAAUUGGCGGGGAGCACCACAACAGGUGGAGCCUGCGGUUUAAUUGGAUUCAACGCCGGACAUCUCACCGGAUAAGACAGCUGAAUGAUUGUCAAUCUGAAGGUUUUACAUGACUAGCUG
rnacentral:rRNA from 1 species